rfam:Macrostomum lignano uti_cns_0002669, whole genome shotgun sequence.
AAAACGGCCCUUUUAGGGGCCACUAAAAAUAAGUUAUAUUCCCUAU